CCUACGGGCGGCAGCAGUAGGGAAUAUUGCUCAAUGGGGGAAACCCUGAAGCAGCAACGCCGCGUGGAGGAUGAAGGUUUUCGGAUUGUAAACUCCUUUUGUUAGAGAAGAUAAUGACGGUAUCUAACGAAUAAGCACCGGCUAACUCCGUGCCAGCAGCCGCGGUAAUACGGAGGGUGCAAGCGUUACUCGGAAUCACUGGGCGUAAAGAGCGCGUAGGCGGGAUAGCAAGUCAGAUGUGAAAUCCUAUGGCUUAACCAUAGAACUGCAUUUGAAACUGUUAUUCUAGAGUAUGGGAGAGGUAGGUGGAAUUCUUGGUGUAGGGGUAAAAUGCGUAGAGAUCAAGAGGAAUACUCAUUGCGAAGGCGACCUGCUAGAACAUAACUGACGCUGAGGCGCGAAAGCGUGGGGAGCAAACAGGAUUAGAUACCCCAGUAGUC
rnacentral:rRNA from 1 species